UCGAGAUGAACAAGAAGAUUUCACCGAGCAAAUAAACAUUUCAUAUUCCUAACACAAUUUUGAGUAUUAGAGCAUGACAUCUAGAAUAACAGGGGAUCAAACUAAAGUUUGUCCUAAAAGGCAUAUAAAGACAAAUUCUACCGAACAACAGUUGAAAGUGUAAAUAUGAUUUUUCUCGAGAUUCCAGAAUGGUGAGGUUGGAGCUUUGAGGUAGUAUUUAUAGGUAAAAAUAG
rnacentral:lncRNA from 1 species